AAUCUUCUGUAUCCGUGCUGAGGUUUCGUCACACACCAGAUCACAAGGACUGAUGAGACUUCUCAGAAAAGUGAAGCG
rnacentral:pre_miRNA from 1 species